UGUAGAUUAAGCUCCAUCGUCAUCCAGCUGUCUUUCAGCUGAUGCAGUCAGGUGCAGAGUAAAGAAGCAACAUUUGUACACCAAAGAAGUCAACUACACCUGUGGGAUUCAAUAAACACAGAGUUUUGCACCCCAACCUGAAACGUACCCACGUGUCUUUUCCAUCGGACCACCACCUGCCUCAUAGGCCACAGACUACUGUUAACUGCUUUAAUAAACUCUCACAUUUUUAUCACAGCAAUUUCAUAUGUUAACCUACAUGUGUGUUGCACGCCUGUACGUCAGUGUCACUGUUGCUACUGUAGUGUCUCAUUCAAACAUGGACAAUUAAUUCCAUGGGCAAACCAUAGCUGUUCUAAAGUCACCUGAGGGCAAGUCUUGUCAUUGCUGACUGGGUUGUCCUUGAAUGCAAGAUUUCCUGCAUAGUAGGCUAUUGCAUUAUCUGAACAUUGUUGUUUCCACACUGGACCUCACAAUUAAGUAAAACAAGACCUUCUGAAACUAAUGAGAUCCAGACCACGAUGUCCUAUGCUAAU